rnacentral:rRNA from 1 species
UACAGAGGGGGCAAGCGUUGCUCGGAAUUACUGGGCGUAAAGGGCGCGUAGGCGGCCUGUUAAGUCGAACGUGAAAUCCCCGGGCUCAACCCGGGAACUGCGUCCGAUACUGGCAGGCUUGAAUCCGGGAGAGGGAUGCGGAAUUCCAGGUGUAGCGGUGAAAUGCGUAGAUAUCUGGAGGAACACCGGUGGCGAAGGCGGCAUCCUGGACCGGUAUUGACGCUGAGGCGCGAAAGCCAGGGGAGCAAACGGG